GGGUUUUAAACUCAAAAACCCCUUGACUGCGCUGGGGCAAGUGACGGACAUCUGAAGAUCAUACAUGCUCAACAUCAAUGAUGGGGGACAUGAAACAAGACUUUACAAAUGAUCUCCUAAAGGUCAUUAAAAUUGAGAAGAUAGAAUCAUCUCCGCAUUUAGAGAAAGAAGAAAGCAGCUUGACUGGUCAAACUUUUGAAUUAAAUGUAGCAAAACAGGCAAAGACAUCUGAAGAUCAAUUUCACCCAAGAUCAAUGAUGGAUGUCAUGAAAGAACAAUUUGCAAAUGAUUUCAAAAAUAUUUUUAAAAUUGACAAGAUAGAAUCUUCUUCAGAGACACAAGAAUUUCAAGAAUUUGCCUAGACUGGUCAUACUUUUAAAGAAUUUUUAGAAGUGACAGAGAACUGACUUCACACACUGAACUUGUGUCUGACUUGAUUGCACAUCAAGAUCAAGAUGUCAUCUUGUACUUAUGAGGUGUCUUAACUAUACUCUGCACUGAACCGUCAUAAUGUGUCAUACAGAGCCAUACUGCUGAACCACACUGAACUGAACCAAGCCAAACCAUGUAGUUAAAUGUUUACAGUGACACCUUCACUUUUUUAAUUGGGUCUCUACUUCCAGAAACUGAUGGAACAUCAUGGGACAUCACUCUGCCAUUCUUGUUGAAAACAUGACCACAUCUGAUGUGACUGGCCUGAAAAAAAAUGGUUAAUCAGAAUGAAGAAAUGACUUUAAACCAAGAUGUUCAUGUUAGAAAUGCUCCUAAUAAAGAUGGAUAUUCUGGAGAAAUAGAAGAUGGACAUAAUUUUUCCAAAAGCAGUAGAAUCCACCUGCUGGUUUAUGCAGAGAAAAAAUCUGAUAAAAUGCCAUUUAAAUGUAGCAUAUGCCAGAAAGAAUUCACACAGUUCUAUAAAUUAAAAUGUCAUGAACAAAGACAUUCUGGCAUACAACCAUUUCAAUGUACAAUUUGUCAGAAAGAUUUUUACAAUUCUUCUGAAUUAAAAAGUCAUUUAAUGAUUCAUUCUGGUACAAAGCAAUUUAAAUGUGAAAUUUGUCAGAAAGAAUUUAAUCAUUCCUCUAGCUUCAAACAUUAUGUUGUAUUACAUUCUGGUACAAAGCCAUUUAAAUGUGAAAUUUGUCAGAAACAGUUCAAUAGUUUGGGCUACUUAAAAAGGCAUAUACAGUUACAUUCUGGUAAAAAGCCAUUUUAAUGUAAAAUUUGUGAGAAAGAUUUCACUCUGUCAUCUCACUUAAAAGAACAUGAAAACAUACAUGCUGGUAUAAAGCCGUUUAAAUGUAAAAUUUGUCUGAAAGAAUUCACUCAAUGCUCUAGCUUAAAAAAGCAUGUUGUAUUACAUUACGAUACAAAGCCAUUUAAAUGUAAAAUUUGUCAGAAAGAAUUUAAUCAUUCCUCUAGCUUUAAACAGCAUGUUGCAUUACAUUCUGGUACAAUGCCAUUUAAAUGUGAUAUUUGUCAGAAAGAAUUCAAUCGAUCAUCUAUAUUAAAGAAGCAUCUUGUAUUACAUUCUGGUACAAAGUCAUUUAAAUGUAAAAUUUGUCAGAAACAGUUCAGUAGUUUGGAUAACUUAAAAAGGCAUACAGAAUUUCAUUCUGGUAAAAAGCCAUUUACAUGUACAAUUUGUCAGAAAGAAUUCACUCAUUCCUCUUGCUUAAAAAAGCAUUGUGUAUUACAUUCUGGUACAAAGCCAUUUAAAUGUGAAAUUUGUCAGAAAGAAUUCAAUUAUUUCUCUAACUUAAAACAGCAUGUCAUAUUACAUUCAGGAACAAAGCCAUUUAAAUGUGAAAUUUGUCAGAAAGAAUUCACAUAUUCCUCUAGCUUAAAAAAGCAUAGUGUAUUACAUUUAGGUACAAAGCCAUUUAAAUGUGAAAUUUGUCAGAAAGAAUUCAAUCAUUCCUUUAGCUUAAAACGUCAUGUUGUAUUACAUUCAGGUACAAAGCCAUUUAAGUGUGAAAUUUGUCAGAAAGAAUUAUAUCAUUUCUCUAGCUUAAAACAGCAUGUUGUAUUACAUUCUGGUAAAAUGCCAUUUAAAUGUGAAAUUUGUCAGAUGGAAUUCGCUUACUCCACUAGCUUAAAAUGGCAUGUUGGAAGUCAAUUAUGUUUAAAAAAAUUAAAUGUGAAACAUGUCAGAAAGAGUUAACUAGGUUGCAUGACUGAAAAAGACAUAUAGGGAUUCAUUCUGGUAAAAAAAGUCUUUUAAAUGUGAAAUUCGUCUGAAAGAAUUCAAUCGUUCCUCGAUUUUAAAAAGACAUGUUGUAAUAAAUACUGGUUUAAAAAUAAUUAUAUGUAAGACCAAGACUGCUUUAUUGAUCCUUAUGUAAAUUUGUUGUGAUUACAAGACUCUUUUCUCAUUUAAAGACAAAACAACAGAAACAUACACAUAAAUAGAACAGACACAAUAAAGAGUUAAUUCAGCAACUACACACACGCAUCUUGAUUCUUUUCAUGUUGCCUUAUCAACGACUGGCGUAGAUAUAGUCUGACCGAGUAAGGUACAAACGAGAUUUUGUACCGCUCUGUUCUUGUUUUGAUUGACAGCAGUCUCCCACUUCGCGGCGACCUUGCAUAGUUCUGAUGGAGCGGGUGGCCGUUGUCUUCCAAGAGUUUUUGUUUUUUUCUUUUUGUUCAAAAAGUUCCUUUAAAUAUGGUUAUGUUGAGUGUAAUGUUUGAUGCCUUUUUAUGACGUUUUCUAGACAGAGCGUUGCCUUGCCAACAAGUUAUUCCGUAUGUUAGCAUAUUUUGCAUAAUCGCGCCGUAAAAAGUAUCGAGGAUCUUCUUAUUUAGUUUAAAGCUAUUGGGUUUGUAUAGAAAAAAAAGUUCCAAGGUGGUCAGAAAGAAUACAAAAGUCGGUCAAAAAUGCUUUCUUUGAAAAAGUCAUUUGACAAAAAAAAAAAUAAAAAAAAAAUCAAAAACAAAUAUCCACUGCCAUGAAAUGUUUUAUUCUUGUAAAAUGUUUAAGUGUAAAAUGUGUCAGAAUCAAAUGUUCACUAAAUCAUAUUUAUAAUACCAUCUGGCACGUCAUUGAGGAAUAAAAGUACUGGUACCGUAUUUAAAUGUCGCAAGCGUCAGAGAUAAUUCUUUACAUCCUUAAGAUUAAAAGAAAAAAACAUGAUUUUUACUAUAGUAGAAUAAUUUUUAAUGUGAAAUAGAAAAGAAACAAAUUAAUACACCUUCUGGUUUGUUUUUCAAAUAUAAUUAUUCUUAGAAUAUAAUAAAAUUAUUAUUCAAUCUAAAA